rnacentral:misc_RNA from 1 species
AAAAAGAAAAGAGAAAAGGCGCAUCUUCUGACAUCUCAGCUAGUACAGCUAUACAUACGCAACGCACAGCUUGUGCUAUAAGGUCUCUCCAUCACCAUCUUCACCCACUUCAACCUCGAGACAUCGUCAAACACACUCAUGAUAAUCUCUCGCUCUAGCGUCCUCUUCUGUUCUCACAACUGCCGCUGAAUUCUCCGUCGCUCUCUCCUUCUCGCCGGAAAAUCUUUCUCCUUCCUUACUUCCUUUCCUACUCUUUCUCUAUUUCUCUUUAACAUUCAGUCACGGACCUCUGGAGAUUGAUUCCUGGAAAAAGCUUUUUCACCGUCGUUUUACGUUAGAAACCGUUUCGAAACACUAUAGAUUUUUUUUAAUGUUCCUUUUUUUUUUUUAGAAAAAGAUGGAGGUGAUUGAGCUCUGGUUG